UACAGAGGUCUCAAGCGUUGUUCGGAUUCAUUGGGCGUAAAGGGCUCGUAGGUGGCCAACUAAGUCAGACGUGAAAUCCCUCGGCUUAACCGGGGAACUGCGUCUGAUACUGGAUGGCUUGAGUUCGGGAGAGGGAUGCGGAAUUCCAGGUGUAGCGGUGAAAUGCGUAGAUAUCGGGAGGAACACCGAUGGCGAAGGCAGGUCUCUGGGCCACUACUGACGCUGAGAAGCGAAAGCAUGGGGAGCGAACAGG
rnacentral:rRNA from 1 species